GACAACUGGAUCUGAAGCGUAAUGAUGGUCUUCAGAAGGCCUCUCAUGGUGGUCUUGAUUCAGAGGUUUGAGAAGACUACCAAGCACCAGAGCCAGCUAACAGGUGGACCAAACAUCAAGCCAGAAUUCUGCAUGAGUCAGAAUUUAUGUCUUUUGAUAUUAUUGCCUAAUGCAACAAAUGGAAAAAAGCAUACUUUAUGACAACCUUAGCAGCAGAACACCAUGACUUUCUCCUGGGUAGACGAGAAAAAAAGUUUGGUAUCAACACCCAUCUAACAAUUAAGAAAGUUAUCUACAGCCACACAUCCACUGUAUACCAAGUUAUGAUGAUCAAUUAUGAGAAUGCAAAAUGAUUUAUAGAUCAGUAAACAAUCAACAAAAAGGUAAUGUCUUAAUUAAUAUAUUUCUGCUUUUGUUACUUAUUCAUGUAUUUGAAUUACAUCAUUCAAAAUCAAAUGUUAAUAAUUAUAGGGUUUCAACUUGUUGCAGCUUUACAAAAAAUGUAGAAUUUGUAGGAGCAUGGACAACUGAGUAACAAAGUCAUAUUAUGCAGAUGGGUGCUCAUGGUGGCCUCCAAAUAAAUACAUGGACAGGCUGCUAAAGAGGGUCAGGAUGAUGGAGAUGCAAGAGCCAAAGACAGCACGGACCAAACACCAGGCCAGAAUUCUGCAUGAGUCAGUUUCCAGCCUUUUUCACAAAGUUGCCGACAACUGGAAGAAUGUCCCAAAUUGCUGAAAAAAGAAAUUCAAUUGAGUAAUUUUCACUCUAGAGACCCUGGGGUGACCACCAAGGACGAAUGAAAACUCCAGUGAGUGUCUCUAAGGUAGAUCCUAAUGCAGAUGGAUGGAAUGUUGAUCCGCCUAACAUGCAAGAUUUUCUGUACCGAGAACUUUGGAUGACCAUCAAGACAAGCACUCGUUUUGAGUCCUGAGACCCUGGGGUGACCACCGUGAACAAAUACAGACUGCAAAAAGGCAGUCUUGACGGUUCUAGGAUGAAUGCAAAUAAAGACUGACCACCUGACUUCAGCGGUCCAGUCUCUUGUGGGAAGCAGGUGUUUGUUACCCCAAAUACGGAUGAAGAGUGACGAAGAGGAUGAUGACUUUUUUCUAAAACAUCAUCUGAAGAUCUUGAAAGGCUGGAGAUAAAAUUAACAGACUGAGGGUUUAUACAAAGAAUCUUACUCAGCCAAUAUUAAAGAUAAGAUAUUUUUACAAAAUGUUCUUUUCAUUGUUUAGGAUGAUUUUAUGUAGAAAACAAUACAUCACAAAAAAGACUUUAGCUGGGUUUUCACAGGCAGUGCCUUACACACACACACUAACCACAAUUAUAAACGCAACACUAACACAGAUUUAGACAGAUUUGUGAAUAAUAUUUGAGAGAAAUAGGCCUUUUGGGGACAUAGAAAAUAUUUAAGUUCAGCUCAUGAAAUGAAAAAUGGGGGCAAAAUUUUUUUUUAACAAGUGCAAUACAAAUAUCAACCAUAAUACUGAUCGUUUUAAAAAAAAGUAAGUCACUAUAUCUUUCUAGAAUCUUACACAAGACUCAGUUACAUGAACGAUCAAAAUAAAUUAACGUCAGACAGGUGGGCGAAAUAUCAAUAUUAAAGCAUGAAUAACUGUUAUCAACCCAAUUUCAAUGUAUUAUUUAAAUGAUCCCACACAAAACAGUUUAUUAUUUAAAUGCAUUAUUACUACAUACCUUAAGCAUGUGUUCCACGCCUUUCUUCUUCUUGGCGUUGCGAGGUCAAGCGGAUGUUGUUAUGUAGAAUCACGACCUUGACGUAAAGACGCACAUCCGUAAUUUAUUUAACAAUGAUAACACUUUCGGGAAAUUUUAUCUUCUAGAUCCUAAUUAAAGCUAUAAAGAAAGAGCAGCCUAUCACGAUUAUUUCCUGGUAAGUUUUUGAAAUGUUUUAUUUUAGAAUGGAGAUUAAUAAAGCAGACGCGGAAAGGUUUUGAUUAUUUUAAAUAUGUUUAUAUGUUGUUGUUUUCGCAUACUGUCAUGUAAAAAAUAUAUUUAAAGAUAAAUGAAUGAAAGAUUUCAUUGUUUAAUUUGAAUAAAUGUGUUUUAUAAAAUCAACAACUGCCUGUUUUAAGAUCAAUUGAAAAUGCUGUUUUAAUUACUUAAUAUCGAUGACACAGCUUGCAUGUGUAGAUGUGUGUAGAAAUAAUUUGCUGUAGUUUAGGGCAAUUCUAUUUGUUAAUGAGGGAUCUUGUAAUCUUACAAACAUCUGGGAAAGAGCGGCUUACCGUCUUUCUAAGCUCUUCUAAAGAUCUGGGAAAGAGCGGCUCCGCAUCUUUUAAAGCUCUUCUAAAGAUCUGUGAAAGAGCGGCUCCGCAUCUUUUAAAGCUCUUCUAAAGAUCUGGGAAAGAGCGGCUCCGCAUCUUUUAAAGCUCUUCUAAAGAUCUGUGAAAGAGCGGCUUGCCGUUCUAACAUCUUGUAAAGAUCUGGGAAACGGCGGCUCGCCAUCGUUCUAAAUCACAUACAUCUUGUAAAGAUCUGCUGGGUGUCUUGCAAACAGCUGGGUCGGACGUCUCGGCGACGCCUUCCAGAUGAGCAAACGCCCUAAAUAAUACGUCUUCCAGACGAAAAACAAGACAUCGCGCAGACAUCUCCGCGACGUACGUGUGCUAUCUGGGUUCCUUUA